UAUUAUGAUCAUCUAAAAACUUGUGUAAGAUUGCACCAAACACUUUUGACUUAUGGUAGCAGGUUUAGCAGGUUUUUUAAAAAAAAAUCAAAAAACAUAUAUAUUAGUAAACUAAUUAAUGAAGGAGGUUAAUUAUUCAAUAGUUAAUUAAAAAUGUAGAAGAAGAUGAAGAUCUGUUCUUCCACCUGCAGAAUUUCUCUCUCCGCCACAACUACCAUGCAACCUGCCGCCACCACCACCAAAUCUGCAGAUCUGGAGCCUCUCUCCCUCGACCCCUCUCCCUUCCUUCCACCUAUGUUGGAUCUAGAAGAAAAAACCCUUUCUUUGCUCAUCUUUUUUUCUGGAUCUGGAUUUUGCAAUCCAUCAUGAGAAGUCUGAAAUCAAUCCACUACCCGCCGUCGUUAAUCCGGUGUAGGAACCCGCGACCAAACACUCUUCCCUCCACCAGAGGAGAGGGUGGCAGCGGAGGCGUGAGAGAGGGAGGUUGAAGAAGGAGAUGGUUGUGAUCGGUGAGUUGGGGUUUGGCCGAAGAAAUACCCAUCAGGUUCCGACUCUGACAAGAUCGACAAUGAGAUGGUCACGAAGCCAUUAUUGAUUGAAAAUCAAAUGGGGGAGGAAAUCGAAUGAAGUGGAUCUGGGAAAAAAUCAAAACUUUGAUUUUGGUGGAAGGAGAUGGAAGCCAAACCAUCUCUUUCAUGCGACUUUUUUAUAAUGUAAUUUCGGUAUUUGAAGAUGGGAUCUUUGUGUUGCUCUGUAUUGAACGAUUCAGAGUGUUGUGGUUAGUUUUUAUUGGGUGGUUUUCAUUUUAGAACUGAAGCAUUGUUAGGGAUUUAAGAUUUCAUUACCUUUUUUUGUGGUAAUAUACUUUCUAGUUACAUAGCAGGGCAUAAAAUUGGUUGUAGAGAUGAGUUCAA